CCUACGGGUGGCAGCAGUGGGGAAUAUUGGACAAUGGGCGAAAGCCUGAUCCAGCCAUGCCGCGUGUGUGAAGAAGGCCUUCGGGUUGUAAAGCACUUUCAGUGGGGAAGAAAGCCUUGGGGCUAAUACCCUCGAGGAAGGACAUCACCCACAGAAGAAGCACCGGCUAACUCCGUGCCAGCAGCCGCGGUAAUACGGAGGGUGCGAGCGUUAAUCGGAAUUACUGGGCGUAAAGCGCGCGUAGGCGGUCUGAUAAGCCGGUUGUGAAAGCCCCGGGCUCAACCUGGGAACGGCAUCCGGAACUGUCAGGCUAGAGUGCAGGAGAGGAAGGUAGAAUUCCCGGUGUAGCGGUGAAAAGCGUAGAGAUCGGGAGGAAUACCAGUGGCGAAGGCGGCCUUCUGGACUGACACUGACGCUGAGGUGCGAAAGCGUGGGUAGCAAACAGGAUUAGAUACCCCAGUAGUC
rnacentral:rRNA from 1 species